GAAUUUUUCUCAAUGGGGGAAACCCUGAAGGAGCGACGCCGCGUGGGGGAUGAAUGGCUUCGGCCCGUAAACCCCUGUCAUUUGCGAUCAAACCUUACGACCUAACACGUCGUAAGCUGAUAGUAGCGGAAGAGGAAGGGACGGCUAACUCUGUGCCAGCAGCCGCGGUAAUACAGAGGUCCCAAGCGUUGUUCGGAUUCACUGGGCGUAAAGGGUGCGUAGGCGGUCGGGUAAGUCUGACGUGAAAUCUUCAAGCUCAACUUGGAAACUGCGUCGGAUACUAUUCGGCUAGAGGAAUGGAGGGGAGACUGGAAUACUUGGUGUAGCAGUGAAAUGCGUAGAUAUCAAGUGGAACACCAGUGGCGAAGGCGAGUCUCUGGACAUUUCCUGACGCUGAGGCACGAAAGCCAGGGGAGCAAACGGG
rnacentral:rRNA from 1 species